rnacentral:rRNA from 1 species
UACGUAGGGUGCAAGCGUUAAUCGGAAUUACUGGGCGUAAAGCGUGCGCAGGCGGUUCGGAAAGAGAGGUGUGAAAUCCCAGGGCUUAACCUUGGAACUGCACUUCUAACUACCGGGCUAGAGUACGUCAGAGGGGGGUAGAAUUCCACGUGUAGCAGUGAAAUGCGUAGAGAUGUGGAGGAAUACCGAUGGCGAGGGCAGCCCCCUGGGAUGAUACUGACGCUAAUGCACGAAAGCGUGGGGAGCAAACAGG